rnacentral:tRNA from 1 species
GGCGCUAUCGUCUAGUGGUUAGGACGCGAGAUUUUCAUUCUUGUAACCGGGGUUCAAUUCCCCGUAGCGCCGCCA